GGUAGUCCACCCCGUAAACGUUGGGAACUAGUUGUGGGGACCAUUCCACGGUUUCCGUGACGCAGCUAACGCAUUAAGUUCCCCGCCUGGGGAGUACGGCCGCAAGGCUAAAACUCAAAGGAAUUGACGGGGACCCGCACAAGCGGCGGAGCAUGCGGAUUAAUUCGAUGCAACGCGAAGAACCUUACCAAGGCUUGACAUACACCAGAACGGGCCAGAAAUGAUCAACUCUUUGGACACUGGUGAACAGGUGGUGCAUGGUUGUCGUCAGCUCGUGUCGUGAGAUGUUGGGUUAAGUCCCGCAACGAGCGCAACCCUCGUUCUAUGUUGCCAGCACGUAAUGGUGGGAACUCAUGGGAUACUGCCGGGGUCAACUCGGAGGAAGGUGGGGAUGACGUCAAAUCAUCAUGCCCCUUAUGUCUUGGGCUUCACGCAUGCUACAAUGGCCGGUACAAAGGGCUGCAAUACCGUGAGGUGGAGCGAAUCCCAAAAAGCCGGUCCCAGUUCGGAUUGAGGUCUGCAACUCGACCUCAUGAAGUCGGAGUCGCUAGUAAUCGCAGAUCAGCAACGCUGCGGUGAAUACGUUCCCGGGUCUUGUACACACCGCCCGUCAAGUCAUGAAAGUCGGUAACACCUGAAGCCUGUGGCCCAACCCUUGUGGAGGGAGCCGUCGAAGGUGGGAUCGGUAAUUAGGACUAAGUCGUAACAAGGUAGCCGUACCGGAAGGUGC
rnacentral:rRNA from 1 species